rnacentral:rRNA from 1 species
CUCAGAAACUACAAAGGAAGUUGACGGGGGCCCGCACAAGCGGAGGAGCAUGUGGUUUAAUUCGAUGAUACGCGAGAACCUUACCUGGGCUCGAACGUAAGAUGACUGUAGGUGAAAGCUUACAUCUCUUCGGAGCAUUUUACGAGGUGCUGCAUGGUUGUCGUCAGCUCGUGCCGUGAGGUGUCGGGUUAAGUCCCAUAACGAGCGCAACCCCUACCUUUAGUUGCCAUCAGGUUAAGCUGGGGACUCUAAAGGAACUGCCUACGCAAGUAGUGAGGAAGGCGGGGAUGACGUCAAAUCAGCACGGCCCUUACGUCCAGGGCUACACACGUGCUACAAUGGCCGAUACAAAGGGUUGCCAAGCCGCGAGGUGGAGCUAAUCCCAUAAAACCGAUCGUAGUCCGGAUCGCAGUCUGCAACUCGACUGCGUGAAGUCGGAAUCGCUAGUAAUCGUGAAUCAGAAUGUCACGGUGAAUACGUUCCCGGGCCUU